CAAUGCAGCGACCAAAACAGGCGUCGACUUUUCACGGACAGUCUGGCUUACUGUCAGCAAUCAUUGCAUUACGGCACACAGUGGGACAGAAUAAAAAAAAGCCGGACAUUCAUAUUUGGGACGAAACUAUUGGUUAAGACACUUUGAUGUCUUCGGAAAGAGUUCUUUAUUUUUUAAUUAGUUUAAUAUAAUGUUGGGAAAUUUUGAUUUAAGGGGGUAUAUACGCAGUUUAAUAUAACAUUAUAUUCAACUACUCCAGAAGGAUUCGAAGCGAUUUUCUUUGGAAUGAGGGCUUUUGAGAGGUCUCGUGCUCGAUUGGAGUGACACUUACUGAUAAAUAAUAAGAAUAAGAUAGAGAUGGCGAGUCUUUAUCCAGAGGGAUUCAGCAUCUUUAAUGACCACCCGAAUAGAAAUGUACAGUAACAAAACUAUGAAUUUCGCUGUGACAGUACAGUAAUUUUACAAUAAUUUACAGUGAAUUCUAGUGUUAUGCUACAAUACAAAAACAAUAAACUUUGAUGUUUCUACAGUAAAUUUCAAUGUAAAAUCGACUUUUACAGUAUAAAAGGGGGGUGGUUAUGUAUCUUAACAUUAAAAAAAUCGAUUUUUUCCAUACAUUUUUCUCACGUAAACAGUAAAAUUUAAUGUGAAUUUACUGUAUCGGUUUUUUGUUGAACAAUAAAAUUGAUUGUUACUUGAAAUUUGAUUGUAAAUCUAUUGCGAGAACUCUGCGUCAAACAAUUGUGAAACAGUAAUAACUAUAAUAUUUAUUGUUUUAUGAUUGUUUGUAGGGUAAAUACCAUUGUAAAAUUCUACUCGGGCAUAAUCACAAUAGGUUUGUUCCAGUACACGGAAGUCACUCCGGAGUAAACAGGAGCAAAAAAUCUUUGCUCCUUUUUACUCCGGUUUUCCACCAGAAGAAAAAAGAGAAGAAGAGAGUACAGGAACGAUUUUCUCCGGAGUACUUCCAGUUUCUCCUGGUACUGGAACAGACCUAAUACCUUUCCCAUAUACAUCCAAAGACAACAUGUUAUGUGACGUCAUGCUCGAUUGGCUCCGGUAUUUGACAUGUUCAAUGGGUGUCUCCGCCUAACUAUGAAUAUAGUAACUAUAGUGACGCGGACCUUUCACCGUUUUCACUCAAGACGGGUUCUUUCUCUUUCAACAAAAUAAGUAUUUCCUCGUCAAUGAUUGAUUCUCAAAGUCUGCUGGAUUAUUUUGGAUAACGAUUCACCAAGUAUAAACUUACCACUCAAACGAAGCAGGAAUGUAUGGCUUCGUCUAGCUUAUUCGGUAACAUGAUGUCGCUGGCUGGUUCGUAACAGGCAAUGUAGAUUGGUUUCAAGUAUAAUCCGAAUAAUUAUGAUCUGAAGACCCUUCCGUUAUUGUCUUUUCUUGGAGGCGGGUAUCAAGAAUGGCUGGAUGGGCGCCAUAGAAAAAUAAUGAGGAUGACAUGUACUUUUCCCUCUCAACCAUAUUAUGUUUACAACAUUAACUCCGUAAAACUGGAAAAAAAUUAUUUCUUGGGGAAACAAAUCCUCUGAACGAGCUACCACCCGAUGAAUCAGCGAGAAUGCCCCGAAUAUAAUUACGGACUCACACAUGAGGCAAACGGUUUACUUCGACGUAACUGGUUUAGAUAAACGCGAUAAAAGUUAUUUCGCCAAGCUGGUGCUUACAGGGAUACUAAAUCAAUGCAGGAAGCCGAAGACGAUCUGCGAUCACCUAUUGAUUUUGCCUUGUGGAAAAGCAGCACUAUCUAGACAUUCACAGUGAUUCGCAUCAUGACACGAGUUGGUGCAGACAACGUUUGUAUCAUCUGCACUGACACGUUUUUAGCUACCGGUGAACUACCUCAACAGCUGCCGAGGUCAAAGAGUACUGAUAGCAAAAAUAUCCGAACGUUGAAGCAGCUUGAAAAAGGAGCAGUUUCCGAAACGGUGCCUGUACACUAUCUGUGGUGAAGCAAUGCACUGCUACGAACUGACUGGUCUUGUGAACAAAGGAUAAUCUGAAGCAGCUUGGUACUCGGUUGCAGUACAUUCAGAAUUUCAACAUAGCCGUUUAUAUGUUUCAGAACUAGCGAAUCCCGAGUAUCUACUGGUAUGUCGCGCAUACUGAAGCAUAACGUUCUAUAUGAGCGUCAAGAUCCGUAAGAGCGUGAAGAACUUUAUUUGGGGAGUUUUCCGUAUCAUCAGGAAAAAUAGAAUAUUGAUAAGGAAUAAUAAUAUUUUCUCUUAAGUAACUAGUACCGUGAUGUGAUAAGCUUUAUUAAACCUGAAUUGAACCUUUAGUAAUAGCUAAAUUAAUUAAAUAAUUAAUUAUAAUAAUUAAUAGGUAAGUGGAUAGAUAAACCGCAGUUGUUGUUAUAAGAAUCUAACCAAAAUAUUUGAUUAUUUUGAACAAUUUAAUCGCUGAUCCCUUCUAGAACCAUACCAAAAAUACAAAUUCAUUGAUGCUGAAAUGGCCAAGAUGAUCAAAAGUUCAUCGAAUCAAGCUGCGUAAUUAAUGAAGCCCCUUUCAUCAAUCUUCGUUCAUACUCCUUGUCAAUAUCACCGUCAACCAGGAGCAUCAGACGAAAGAAAAUUGAACGGACAACGCCAAUGCAGCUGUGUAUAAAGGCCAUCAAAUGUAGUAAUCACAACAUGAAGGGUGGUUUCAGGUCGGGCUCUGAAAACGACUACGAUUUCUUUUAAUUUUUACUAGGUUAGUAAAAAAUGUUAUCCUAACUGAUACUAAUGGAAUCACAGCUCUUGGGGCUGACCUUCAAAAGAUUGAAUUUGGAAUAGCCAAUAGAAUUGCGUUGAUCAUCGCUGCCUUACCAACGACACGACCAGCCACUUGAUGAAACAGUACGUUUUUGGCUCGUUUCAUUCAAGUUAAUGAAGUCGCGACAGUUCUUGUAUUGUAGAUAAAUGGAGCUACUGAACAACCCAACGCGAGUGUUUUGCACUACAAACAUAAAAUAAAUUUCCUGGAAUAAGCGUUCGUUAACGUGCAAAGUAUACAGUUUCGCAACAGCCGUCCAACAAGUACUCUCUUGGAUGACUAAAAUUCCAUAUAGCUUCGUCUUUUCCGUACUUUUUCAUAAUUCCUCUCAAACGCAUAGCUGAGGCACAGAGAACAGACGUCCAUCUUCAGCAUUCAACUUGUGUAAAAUCUCUAACGGUUUCGAAGGUAGUUUGGAUAUCUAAACCAGGUGCGCUACUGUCGUCAUGUUUUUUUGUGGUUGAGUGCGACAGAAUUGACAGCGGUUAUUCCUCUACCCAGUCAAACUUGUCCGGAACCGAUUCGGACUUCCAGCAUGAAUUCCAGCUCAAAUGCGUCAACCGAUAGUCGGAAUCGGUUGUUUUCUUUGAGCUAGAUUUCAUGCAGAAUCCAUCCAGGAUUUCGAACCGGUUCCGGAAUCGAUUUGACGGAUAGUUGGGAUAGGUUGGUGUGGCGGCGCUAGUGUUUUUAGUAUAUUAAUUCAAAUGUUUACACACGUUUUUUAAAUAUUUUUGUUCGAUCAUGGAUGUCUGUUCUCUGUGGCUGAGGCAUCACUGAGGAUUCUGACACGUAUAGCCAUAGACCAGCAUAAAAAUGGCACCAAGAAUUCAAUUUGUCCCGGUUAUCUCGGAUUGAAAAAAGUUAAAACUCAACCUAAGUUGCUUCUUGUAAAUUCCAAUCAGGACUGAAGAGAUUCUGGUUUAAAACCGUAGCAAUGAAUUCCAUGAACUUCCUCAGGAUCCCAGUUAAGUUCAGCCGGCUCGUUCUAGUUCGGCUCCAUUGACACAACCGAUUAGUUGAAUCGAUUGUAUCACUGGAGCGGAAAUACUAACUAGAACCAGCCAGAAUUCCAGCUCAUUUUCGGCUGAACUAUAUCAAGAAACAGGAUAAAUUAUAUUUUUAUAAUUUUAAAUUAUAUUUUAUAUGUAGGGUGAUGAGCCUAUUUUGGCACCAUUAGGGAGAGGGUCGCACUAUUUUUUGAACAACUUUAAAAGAAGCCAUAUUAUCUAUAACCUUUCUCAGAAUAAAGUAUUAGUGUACUGUUUCUUAAACAUCUAUAUAAUCCUUAUUUAGCAGAAUUGCCUCAAUUUUCAGCAUAAAUAAAAAUAAACGUUCCAUUCUGUGCAUCUAUUCCCACCUCAACGAUC